rnacentral:rRNA from 1 species
AGUGAACGCUGGCGGUAGGCCUAACACAUGCAAGUCGAACGGCAGCACAGGAGAGCUUGCUCUCUGGGUGGCGAGUGGCGGACGGGUGAGGAAUACAUCGGAAUCUACUCUGUCGUGGGGGAUAACGUAGGGAAACUUACGCUAAUACCGCACACGACCUACGGGUGAAAGCAGGGGACCUUCGGGCCUUGCGCGAUUGAAUGAGCCGAUGUCGGAUUAGCUAGUUGGCGGGGUAAAGGCCCACCAAGGCGACGAUCCGUAGCUGGUCCGAGAGGAUGAUCAGCCACACUGGAACUGAGACACGGUCCAGACUCCUACGGGAGGCAGCAGUGGGGAAUAUUGGACAAUGGGCGCAAGCCUGAUCCAGCCAUACCGCGUGGGUGAAGAAGGCCUUCGGGUUGUAAAGCCCUUUUGUUGGGAAAGAAAUCCAGCUGGCUAAUACCCGGUUGGGAUGACGGUACCCAAAGAAUAAGCACCGGCUAACUUCGUGCCAGCAGCCGCAGUAA